rnacentral:misc_RNA from 1 species
GAAAUGCGAUAAGUAAUGUGAAUUGCAGAAUUCCGUGAAUCAUCGAAUCUUUGAACGCACAUUGCGCCCUCUGGCAUUCCGGGGGGCAUGCCUGUCCGAGCGUCAUUACGCACCCUCAAGCCCGGCUUGUGUGAUGGGCCCCGGCGUCUCGUUCGCGAGACGGGCCCGAAAGGCACCGGCGGCGUCGACCCAAUGAGCCCGAGCGUAUGGGGACUUCUGUCACACGUUCGCGGUGCGGACCGGCGCCUGCUUGACUUUUCUGAUUAUCCAGGUUGACCUCGGAUCAGGUAGGGAUACCCGCUGAACUUAAGC